rnacentral:rRNA from 1 species
AGAGUUUGAUCCUGGCUCAGGACGAACGCUGGCGGCGUGCCUAACACAUGCAAGUCGAGCGGAGACAGUGAGUAGCUUGCUAUGAGCUGUUUUAGCGGCGGACGGGUGAGUAACGCGUGAGCAACCUUUCCCAGACAGGGGAAUAACACACCGAAAGGUGUACUAAUACCGCAUAAGACCACGGGAUCACAUGGUUCUGGGGUAAAAGAUUUAUCGGUUUGGGGUGGGCUCGCGUCCGAUUAGGUAGUUGGUGAGGUAACGGCCCACCAAGCCGACGAUCGGUAGCCGACCUGAGAGGGUGAUCGGCCACAUUGGGACUGAGACACGGCCCAAACUCCUACGGGAGGCAGCAGUGGGGAAUAUUGGGCAAUGGGGGGAACCCUGACCCAGCAACGCCGCGUGGAGGAAGAAGGUUUUCGGAUCGUAAACUCCUGUCCUUGGAGACGAGUAGAAGACGGUAUCCAAGGAGGAAGCCCCGGCUAACUACGUGCCAGCAGCCGCGGUAAUACGUAGGGGGCAAGCGUUGUCCGGAAUAAUUGGGCGUAAAGGGCGCGUAGGCGGCUCGGUAAGUCUGGAGUGAAAGUCCUGCUUUUAAGGUGGGAAUUGCUUUGGAUACUGUCGGGCUUGAGUGCAGGAGAGGUUAGUGGAAUUCCCAGUGUAGCGGUGAAAUGCGUAGAGAUUGGGAGGAACACCAGUGGCGAAGGCGACUAACUGGACUGUAACUGACGCUGAGGCGCGAAAGUGUGGGGAGCAAACAGGAUUAGAUACCCUGGUAGUCCACACUGUAAACGAUGAAUGCUAGGUGUAGGGGGUAUCGACCCCUUCUGUGCCGCAGUCAACACAAUAAGCAUUCCGCCUGGGGAGUACGGCCGCAAGGUUGAAACUCAAAGGAAUUGACGGGGGCCCGCACAAGCAGCGGAGCAUGUGGUUUAAUUCGACGCAACGCGAAGAACCUUACCAGGUCUUGACAUCCACUUAAACUUACAGAGAUGUAAGGUGUGCUUGCACAAAGUGAGACAGGUGGUGCAUGGUUGUCGUCAGCUCGUGUCGUGAGAUGUUGGGUUAAGUCCCGCAACGAGCGCAACC